GGCUCAGUCGGUUAGAAUACCUGCCUGUCACGCAGGGGGUCGCGGGUUCGAGUCCCGU
rnacentral:tRNA from 1 species